rnacentral:rRNA from 1 species
AUCGAACGCUGGCGGCAGGCCUAACACAUGCAAGUCGAACGAGUGGCGGAAGGGUGAGUAAUGUCUGGGAAACUGCCUGAUGGAGGGGGAUAACCACUGGAAACGGUAGCUAAUACAGCAUACCAUCAGAUGGGCCCAGAGGGGAUUAGCUUGUUGGUGGUGUAACGGCUCACCAAGGCGACGGUCCCUAGCUGGUCUGAGAGGAGGACCAGCCACCCUGGAACUGAGACACGGUCCAGACUCCGACGGGAGGCAGCAGUGGGGAUUAUUGCACAAGGGGCGCAAGCCUGAUGCAGCCAUGCCGCGUGUAUGAAGAAGGCCUUCGGGUUGUAAAGUACUUUCAUCGGGGAGGCGUUACCCGCAGAGGAAGCACCGGCUAACUCCGUGCCAGCAGCCGCGGUAAUAC